CUGGUUUUACACCAUUCUUCUUUAAUCGUUUUUGAAUAUCUUUAGGUUGAUUCAGAGCUUAAAGUAAGCAUGAAGGUACUGGUUAUCCUUGCCGCCCUUUGUCUGAGCGCUGUCUGUGGUAUACCACACUAUGGUGGAUAUCCUGGUAGUCACUACGGAUCAUACAACUAUGGGUAUCCAUACGGGCAUCAAAAUUACUACCAAUCCCAAUAUUACAACGGUUAUCCAAGUUACGGCAACUACCACUAUGGCGGCUACCCGUAUGGCAACAACUACAACAGCUACUACAACUUUGGGAGUCGGUACAGGAGAGGGGGAUAUUGAGAGCCGUAUCACGUGAUAUCCAAACACAAUGAACAGAAGAGACGGAUACGCUUCAAAUAACGUUUUUUAUUUUCAAUUCAUCGAAUAAACGUUAAUUCAAAUUGUUCUU